rnacentral:sRNA from 1 species
AUGUACCGCUGGUACACAGCGGUUUCUGUGCACUAGCCGCAUCCACCUGACGGCCGCUUGCUACCUGUUGUUGGCC